UGGGGAAUUUUGGACAAUGGGCGAAAGCCUGAUCCAGCAAUGCCGCGUGUGUGAAGAAGGCCUUCGGGUUGUAAAGCACUUUUGUCCGGAAAGAAAUCCUUGGCUCUAAUACAGUCGGGGGGAUGACGGUACCGGAAGAAUAAGCACCGGCUAACUACGUGCCAGCAGCCGCGGUAAUACGUAGGGUGCAAGCGUUAAUCGGAAUUACUGGGCGUAAAGCGUGCGCAGGCGGUUUGCUAAGACCGAUGUGAAAUCCCCGGGCUCAACCUGGGAACUGCAUUGGUGACUGGCAGGCUAGAGUAUGGCAGAGGGGGGUAGAAUUCCACGUGUAGCAGUGAAAUGCGUAGAGAUGUGGAGGAAUACCGAUGGCGAAGGCAGCCCCCUGGGCCAAUACUGACGCUCAUGCACGAAAGCGUGGGGAGCAAACAGGAUUCAGAUACCCU
rnacentral:rRNA from 1 species